GGGAAGGGACGCUCUCACCUGGGUUGCUCCGCCGCCCCCUUUCUCCUCUAAUACGUGCCAGAGUCUUCUCGAUCUUCGAUCCCUUCCACUGCGUCGUCAGGGAAAUCUCCAGCAGGCAUAAUGUCAACUGUUACUGUUCCACCCGUAUGCAUGCUGAGAGGCAACACCAAAUGCCAGCGCACCUCUUUGCUGAUCAAAAGCCCAUCCUCACUGAGCUCCAUGAAGCGUAUCUCAAAAGCAUCAUCCUUGAGGACAUCCAACCGCUUCAGGGCAUGUGCUAUGGCAGUCUACAAGGUGAAACUCAUCGACCCGGAGGGGAAGGAACAUGAGUUCGACGCUCCAGAUGAUAGCUACAUUCUGGAUGCAGCCGAGGAUGCAGGAGUGGAGCUGCCAUACUCAUGCCGAGCUGGAGCAUGUUCGACGUGUGCUGGUCAAUUGGUGUCGGGCAAUGUCGAUCAGUCGGAUGGAUCCUUCCUCGAUGAAACACAGAUGUCAAAGGGUUAUAUCCUGACCUGUGUCUCCUAUCCGAGAUCAGAAUGCGUCAUCUACACUCACAAAGAAGGCGAACUAUAUUGAUCGGAUUGGCAUCCUUUCUCUGUUUGUGCUCGGAAUGAAUCAGACGUAUGUAUCUGUCAUUUAACCUCUUUUUUUUUUGUUGUCCAGAGGGUCAUGCCUCUUUCAAUAAGCUCGGUACUACUACUGCUGAUAUUGCACUACUUUAUGUUCAGAUUUCUUGA